CCUACGGGAGGCAGCAGUGAGGAAUAUUGGUCAAUGGACGAGAGUCUGAACCAGCCAAGUAGCGUGAAGGAUGACUGCCCUAUGGGUUGUAAACUUCUUUUAUAAAGGAAUAAAACGAGGCACGUGUGCCUUUUUGCAUGUACUUUAUGAAUAAGGAUCGGCUAACUCCGUGCCAGCAGCCGCGGUAAUACGGAGGAUCCGAGCGUUAUCCGGAUUUAUUGGGUUUAAAGGGAGCGUAGAUGGGUUGUUAAGUCAGUUGUGAAAGUUUGCGGCUCAACCGUAAAAUUGCAAUUGAUACUGGCAGUCGUGAGUACAGUUGAGGUAAGCGGAAUUCGUGGUGUAGCGGUGAAAUGCUUAGAUAUCACGAAGAACCCCGAUUGCGAAGGCAGCUUACUAAACUGGGACUGACAUUGAUGCUCGAAAGUGUGGGUAUCAAACAGGAUUAGAUACCCUGUAGUC
rnacentral:rRNA from 1 species